GGAGGGAGGGGGUGGAGGGGGAGCACAAUAAUACAAUUCUGUUUAGGGCACCCAUUUGGCCAGUAGCGGACCUGAUUCUGCCUUAACAUUACACUUGUCACAAACGGAUGGAAAAAUUCUGGAAACAGACGUCUCAAACAGGUUUGAUGAAGUUUUACAUCCUGUAUCAGGUGCGAGCGCGGACGAGACCACGCUCCGGUGGAUGACGGCACGGGAGACUCACGUCGUCGCCUCGGGAACCCCGACACGCCCUCAAGAAGGAGACAGAUCUGGACUGCUGGCAGGCCGGUCAAGCACACGCACUCCGUAUCUACGAAGCCAUGCUGUUGUAGCACAUGCAGAAUGAGGCCUGGCAUUGUCCUGAUAAAGUAACCAUGGACUUCCCGGGAAAAGACGUUGCCUUGAUGGCAGCAUGUGUCUCUCUUAAACCCCUCAUAUAUACGCCUCAGCGUCAAUGAGAACUCGACAUCCGUUUUUCCCGAAAACAAGCUGAAACAUGGACUCAUCUGACCACAGCACGCCUUUCCACUGCCUUUCAGUCCAUCUGAAAUGAGCUCAGGCCCAGAGAACUCGGCGGCGUUUCUGCAUAGAGUUGAUGUAUGGCUUCCUCCUUGUGUAAAAGAGUUUCAGGUUGCAUUUCUGGAUGCAGCAGCUGACUGCGUUAAGUGACAACGGUUUUCCG
ensembl:lncRNA